rnacentral:rRNA from 1 species
GAUAAACGCUGGCGGCGUGCCUAAAACAUGCAAGUCGUACGGGCUUCGACUUCGGUCGGAGUUAGUGGCGGACGGCUGAGUAACACGUGGGUGACCUACCUCCGAGCGGGGGAUAACUGCCCGAAAGGGUAGCUAAUACCGCAGACGUUAUCGGCUCAUACCGAUACCUAAACCCGUAAGGGGCUUGGAGAGGGGCCCGCGGCCGAUUAGCUAGUUGGUGGGGUAAAGGCUUACCAAGGCGACGAUCGGUAGCUGGUCUGAGAGGAUGAUCAGCCAGACUGGGACUGCGACACGGCCCAGACUCCUACGGGAGGCAGCAGUUAGGAAUUUUGGGCAAUGGGGGAAACCCUGACCCAGCAACGCCGCGUGGGUGACGAAGGCCUUCGGGUUGUAAAGCCCUUUUCCAGGGGAAGAUAGUGACGGUACCCUGGGAAUAAGCCCCGGCUAACUACGUGCCAGCCGCCGCGGUAAGAC